AAAGUGAUUCAAAGUUAAAGUUAUACAUUAUAAGCCAUGAACCUUACUAAUGGGCAUAUACUAGUUACGGUUGUGCAGUAGACUUAGAGAAACACUAAAUCUUUACUGCAUUAGGUAUUAUUCGUUAUCAUGACCUGAGAGAUCCCCAUGCAAUCGGAUAUAGGAUACAGGUGGAGGUCGCUGAUUGGCUGGGCAGGAUGGCAUGGGUAUUGGAGGCCGCUGAUUGGCUGAGAGGGAGGGCACCAACGUCCUUCCCUGCGGCCCUCGACCACUCUGCCCCGAGACACGGCCGAGGGAGGUCACGGCGCGUUGAGAUGUGUUAAAACUGGACUGACUGGACUAUUUUUGUUUGAAGUGCCGUAACAUGAGGGGUGGGCCCCUGGCUGGGCUGCUCCACCCCGCCCCGCAGGAGUCAGGUAGGCACAGCACAGGGUCGUGGCAGGACUGCCGGAAGUAUGUCAGUGUAACAAUUGGCAGAAACCCCACUGUUCCCCAGACCAGGCACUGUGCUGUGACUGCCAGGCUCCUGCCAUCACCCAUCAGCUGACCUACUGGCCACUUAGGAUGGGCCUCGGCGCCAGGGUGGCCAGUGUGGAGGCGCCCACCGGCCAUCUCUUCAGUUAUGGUAAGUACCAUGUACAGCUCAUCGCGGGACAGCGAGGGACAGCGCAGGAGCAACAGCAUCGGACAAGGAAAGUGAAACUUUGAUUUUGUCAGGGUUAGGAUGUUAGGAGGUAGGAUGCUAACCUUGAUUGCCUUUCAGAUGCUCAUAGAAGUUUUCAUUGGAAGUUUUUUUUUCAGGUGUUGAGUUCCAGAUAUUCCAUUCACAAGUCAAGUAUUUGGUAUAGGAUGAAAGUAUGAUGCCCAAUGGUCUAGUGGGCUAAUGUCAUACCAUGGAAGUGAAGAGCCAGAGCGAGUGUUUAAUGCUGCUAGACAUCAGGAACUUCGUCUCAAGCAACAAACCCUAAAACAGCAACCCCAUAUGAAAAUGGCUUAAGUAUGUCAAGAAAAGAAGAAAGACUAUGACAUCAGACUCUCCCCUUCUCCAUGAAGCUCUGCAUAUGAGUGAAAACUACCAGGAACUUCUGUGGAUCGACACGUUUUGAAAGGUUAGAAUUUACUGGCUACUUUCUCAGGUUUAAUGUUUGUUGCCUUUCAGACUGGGAUCUUGUGCCUUUAUGAAUGUUUCUAAGUCUUCAGUUUUUACUUUCUGGUUCCUCUAUUACUCUUUAAAUUCCUACUCACUAUACCCUAAAGUUACUCAUUAUCUGUCAUUCAUAAUUCUUCCUCUUCAGGUUCUUUCUUCUUGCACCCUCCUAUUCAUGUUCAUUAUUGCCCAUCAUGCAUUCCAUCUUUCAUGUUCUCGCUUGUUCUUUUGCUACUCCAAGGCAAGGCCUCUUUCUCAUCUCCAUCCUGACACGACCGCAACCACUCAAUAGUCACAGCAUCUUUUACACAGUUACCUGUUAUUGUUACGUAAUGGAGAGCAACCAUAAAUACUACUGAAAGCAUAACAUGUUAGAUGGGGUUUACAGAUGCUUGUUUGAAAAGAAAAUUGUAACUUUCUCUACA